AGAGCGAACGCUGGCGGCAUGCUUAACACAUGCAAGUCGCACGGGCAGGGGAAACCCUGUCAGUGGCGGACGGGUGAGUAACGCGUAGGUAUCUAUCCUUGGGUGGGGGACAACGGCUGGAAACGGCUGCUAAUACCGCAUGAUGACCGAGGUCUAAAGGCGCAAGUCGCCUGGGGAGGAGCCUGCGUACGAUUAGCUUGUUGGUGGGGUAAAGGCCUACCAAGGCUACGAUCGUUAGCUGGUCUGAGAGGAUGAUCAGCCACAUUGGGACUGAGACACGGCCCAAACUCCUACGGGAGGCAGCAGUGGGGAAUAUUGGACAAUGGGCGCAAGCCUGAUCCAGCAAUGCCGCGUGUGUGAAGAAGGUCUUCGGAUUGUAAAGCACUUUCGACGGGACGAUGAUGACGGUACCCGUAGAAGAAGCCCCGGCUAACUUCGCGCCAGCAGCCGC
rnacentral:rRNA from 1 species